GCAAACUUGGUCAUUUAGAGGAAGUAAAAGUCGUAACAAGGUUUCCGUAGGUGAACCUGCGGAAGGAUCAUUAAUGAGUUAGGGUCUUCUCAGGCCCGACCUCCCAACCCUUUGUCUACCUUUACCACUUGUUGCUUCGGCGGGCCCCGUCCUGACCACGGACUGCCGGAGGGCCGUAACACGCCCUCUGGCCCGCGCCCGUCGAUAGCCCCCCAACCUUAUUAACUCUUGAACUAAAACGUGUCAUAAUCUGAGUAACAACCAAAAAAUAAAAAGCAAAACUUUCAACAACGGAUCUCUUGGUUCUGGCAUCGAUGAAGAACGCAGC
rnacentral:misc_RNA from 1 species